AGGGUUUGAUCAUGGCUCAGAACGUACGCUGGCGGCACGCCUAAUACAUGCAAGUCGAACGAAGUAGCAAUACUUAGUGGCAGACGGGUGAGUAACAUGUAGGUAUCUACCCUUCAGUCUGGGACAACUCUUGGAAACGGGAGCUAAUACCGGAUAAAACCUUCGGGUUGAAAGAUUUAUCGCUGGGGGAUGAGUCUGCGUACCAUUAGCUUGUUGGUGGGGUAACGGCCUACCAAGGCGACGAUGGUUAGCGGGUCUGAGAGGACGAUCCGCCACACUGGAACUGAGACACGGUCCAGACUCCUACGGGAGGCAGCAGUAGGGAAUCUUGCACAAUGGGGGAAACCCUGAUGCAGCGAUGCCGCGUGAGUGAAGAAGGCCCUUGGGUUGUAAAGCUCUUUCGUCGGGGAAGAAAAUGACUGUACCCGAAUAAGAAGGUCCGGCUAACUUCGUGCCAGCAGCCGCGGUAAUACGAAGGGACCUAGCGUAGUUCGGAAUUACUGGGCUUAAAGAGUUCGUAGGUUGUUAAAAAAGUUGGUGGUGAAAUCCCAGAGCUUAACUCUGGAACUGCCAUCAAAACUUUUUAGCUAGAGUUUGAUAGAGGAAAGCAGAAUUUCUAGUGUAGAGGUGAAAUUCGUAGAUAUUAGAAAGAAUACCAAUUGCGAAGGCAGCUUUCUGGAUCAUUACUGACACUGAGGAACGAAAGCAUGGGUAGCGAAGAGGAUUAGAUACCCUCGUAGUCCAUGCCGUAAACGAUGUGUGUUAGACGUUGGAAAUUUAUUUUCAGUGUCGCAGCGAAAGCGAUAAACACACCGCCUGGGGAGUACGACCGCAAGGUUAAAACUCAAAUGAAUUGACGGGGACCCGCACAAGUAGUGGAGCAUGUGGUUUAAUUCGAAGAUACGCGCAGAACCUUACCAACACUUGACAUGUUCGUCGCGACUUUAAGAGAUUAAAGUUUUCGGUUCGGCCGGACGAAACACAGGUGCUGCAUGGCUGUCGUCAGCUCGUGUCGUGAGAUGUUGGGUUAAGUCCCGCAACGAGCGCAACCCUCACUUUUAGUUGCCAGCAUUUAGUUGGGCACUCUAGAAAGACCGCCGGUGAUAAACCGGAGGAAGGUGUGGAUGACGUCAAGUCAUCAUGCCCCUUACACCCUGGGCUACACACGUACUACAAUGCUACGGACAAAGGGCAGCAAACUCGCGAGAGCUAGCAAAUCCCAUAAACCGUGGCUCAGUUCAGAUCGUAGGCUGCAACUCGCCUACGUGAAGUAGGAAUCGCUAGUAAUCGCAGGUCAGCAUACUGCGGUGAAUACGUUCCCGGGCCUUGUACACACCGCCCGUCACACCAUGGAAGUUGGCCAUGCCCGAAGUCGUUACUCCAACCCUUGUGGAGGAGGACGCCGAAGGUGGGGCUAAUGACUGGGGUGAAGUCGUAACAAGGUAGCCGUA
rnacentral:rRNA from 1 species